GAUGAACGCUGGCGGCGUGCCUAAUACAUGCAAGUCGAGCGAACGGACGAGAAGCUUGCUUCUCUGAUGUUAGCGGCGGACGGGUGAGUAACACGUGGAUAACCUACCUAUAAGACUGGGAUAACUUCGGGAAACCGGAGCUAAUACCGGAUGAUAUUUUGAACCGCAUGGUUCAGAAGUGAAAGACGGUCUUGCUGUCACUUAUAGAUGGAUCCGCGCUGCAUUAGCUAGUUGGUAAGGUAACGGCUUACCAAGGCAACGAUGCAUAGCCGACCUGAGAGGGUGAUCGGCCACACUGGAACUGAGACACGGUCCAGACUCCUACGGGAGGCAGCAGUAGGGAAUCUUCCGCAAUGGGCGAAAGCCUGACGGAGCAACGCCGCGUGAGUGAUGAAGGUCUUCGGAUCGUAAAACUCUGUUAUUAGGGAAGAACAUAUGUGUAAGUAACUGUGCACAUCUUGACGGUACCUAAUCAGAAAGCCACGGCUAACUACGUGCCAGCAGCCGCGGUAAUACGUAGGUGGCAAGCGUUAUCCGGAAUUAUUGGGCGUAAAGCGCGCGUAGGCGGUUUUUUAAGUCUGAUGUGAAAGCCCACGGCUCAACCGUGGAGGGUCAUUGGAAACUGGAAAACUUGAGUGCAGAAGAGGAAAGUGGAAUUCCAUGUGUAGCGGUGAAAUGCGCAGAGAUAUGGAGGAACACCAGUGGCGAAGGCGACUUUCUGGUCUGUAACUGACGCUGAUGUGCGAAAGCGUGGGGAUCAAACAGGAUUAGAUACCCUGGUAGUCCACGCCGUAAACGAUGAGUGCUAAGUGUUAGGGGGUUUCCGCCCCUUAGUGCUGCAGCUAACGCAUUAAGCACUCCGCCUGAGGAGUACGACCGCAAGGUUGAAACUCAAAGGAAUUGACGGGGACCCGCACAAGCGGUGGAGCAUGUGGUUUAAUUCGAAGCAACGCGAAGAACCUUACCAAAUCUUGACAUCCUUUGACAACUCUAGAGAUAGAGCCUUCCCCUUCGGGGGACAAAGUGACAGGUGGUGCAUGGUUGUCGUCAGCUCGUGUCGUGAGAUGUUGGGUUAAGUCCCGCAACGAGCGCAACCCUUAAGCUUAGUUGCCAUCAUUAAGUUGGGCACUCUAAGUUGACUGCCGGUGACAAACCGGAGGAAGGUGGGGAUGACGUCAAAUCAUCAUGCCCCUUAUGAUUUGGGCUACGCACGUGCUACAAUGGACAAUACAAAGGGCAGCGAAACCGCGAGGUCAAGCAAAUCCCAUAAAGUUGUUCUCAGUUCGGAUUGUAGUCUGCAACUCGACUACAUGAAGCUGGAAUCGCUAGUAAUCGUAGAUCAGCAUGCUACGGUGAAUACGUUCCCGGGUCU
rnacentral:rRNA from 1 species